rnacentral:rRNA from 1 species
UUGAUGGGGAAGCCCUUCGGGGCGAAGUAGCUGAUUUCACACUGUCAAGAAAAGCUUCUAUCGAGUUUAAAGGCGCCCGUACCGUAAACCGACACAGGUGGGUGAGGAGAGUAUCCUAAGGCCAGCGAGAGAACUAUUGUUAAGGAACUCGGCAAAAUGACCCCGUAACUUAGGGAGAAGGGGUGCCUGUCUAUGACAGGCCGCAGAGAAUAGGCCCAAGCGACUGUUUACCAAAAACACAGGUUUCUGCUAAGUCGCAAGACGAUGUAUAGGAGCUGACGCCUGCCCGGUGCUGGAAGGUUAAGGGGAUCUGUUAGAGCAAUCGAAGCAGUGAACUUAAGCCCCAGUAAACGGCGGCCGUAACAAUAACGGUCCUAAGGUAGCGAAAUUCCUUGUCGGGUAAGUUCCGACCCGCACGAAAGGCGUAACGAUUUGGGCACUGUCUCAACAAUAGACUCGGUGAAAUUGUAAUCCCGGUGAAGAUGCCGGGUACCUGCGACAGGACGGAAAGACCCCAUGGAGCUUUACUGUAGCUUGACGUUGGGUCUUGGUACUACAUGUACAGGAUAGGUGGGAGACUAUGAAGCAUGGACGCCAGUCUGUGUGGAGUCAUCCUUGGGAUACCACCCUUGUAGUACUGGGAUCCUAACCAUAGGCCUUGAAUCAGGUCUUGGAACACCGUCAGGUGGGCAGUUUGACUGGGGCGGUCGCCUCCUAAAAAGUAACGGAGGCGCUCAAAGGUUUCCUCAGCACGGUCGGAAAUCGUGCGAAGAGUGUAAAGGCAAAAGGAAGCUUGAUUGCAAGACAUACAGGUCGAGCAAGGACGAAAGUCGGACUUAGUGAUCCGGUGGUACCGCAUGGAAGGGCCAUCGCUCAACGGAUAAAAGCUACCCUGGGGAUAACAGGCUUAUCUCCCCCAAGAGUCCACAUCGACGGGGAGGUUUGGCACCUCGAUGUCGGCUCAUCACAUCCUGGGGCUGUAGUAGGUCCCAAGGGUUGGGCUGUUCGCCCAUUAAAGUGGUACGCGAGCUGGGUUCAGAACGUCGUGAGACAGUUCGGUCCCUAUCCGUCGCAGGCGUAGGAAAUUUGAGAAGACCUGUCCUUAGUACGAGAGGACCGGGAUGGACGUACCUCUGGUGUACCAGUUGUUCUGCCAAGGGCAUGGCUGGGUAGCUAUGUACGGAAUGGAUAAGCGCUGAAAGCAUCUAAGCGCGAAGCCAACUUCAAGAUAAGAUUUCCCACCGUAAGGGUAAGACCCCAGGAAGACUACCUGGUUGAUAGGUCGAAGGUGUAAGUGCAGUAGUGUAUUUAGCUUAUCGAUACUAAUAGGUCGAGGACUUG